rnacentral:rRNA from 1 species
UGUGAGAAAGCUUAAUUUGACUCAACACGGGGAAACUCACCAGGGUCCAGACAAAAUAAGGAUUGACAGAUUGAGAGCUCUUUCUUGAUCUUUUGGAUGGUGGUGCAUGGCCGUUCUUAGUUGGUGGAGUGAUUUGUCUGCUUAAUUGCGAUAACGAACGAGACCUCGGCCCUUAAAUAGCCCGGUCCGCAUUUGCGGGCCGCUGGCUUCUUAGGGGGACUAUCGGCUCAAGCCGAUGGAAGUGCGAGG